UGCAAAUGAUGUUUCUCACGAUGGUCUUCAGACACUUCAUGGUGACAAUAGCCACUGGCUGUUUGCUGAUGCAGUUCA